CGGCGGGCGAAGCCCCUGGGGGCUGCCCCUCCCCUAACCGCAAACGGGGCAUAUGGCGGGGGGCGUCAACCUUCGGGGAGAGUGUGCGCGCAUGGCCGGAGGCGGCGCCCUCUGCGACGAUGACCCCCAGUCCUCGCGGGCGGCCGUCUGGUGGUAGGCCUCUCGGAGGAGGGGCUGAACCACCGACCGCUGAACCGGGUUAGGCCCGGAAGGGAGCGGCCCUAAGGCGGGGCGGUCGCGUUGCGGGGGGUGCUGGGGGUAUGCCGCAUGGUGCACGUGCCGGUCAUGCGCGUGCGCGCCCUGAAGGGAUGCCGCCG
rnacentral:SRP_RNA from 1 species